rnacentral:misc_RNA from 1 species
UUUCCGUAGGUGAACCUGCGGAAGGAUCAUUACAGAGUUCAUGCCCUUCGGGGUAGACCUCCCACCCUUUGUAUACCGUGCCUUUGUUGCUUUGGCGGGCCGCCUUUUGGCCACCGGCUCCGGCUGGUGCGCGCCCGCCAGAGAACCCCAAACCCUGUCUUACAGUGUCGUCCGAGUACUAUAUAAUAGUUAAAACUUUCAACAACGGAUCUCUUGGUUCUG